CUUUACUGUAGCUUGAAAUUGAGUUUGGAUUUGUUAUGUGCAGCAUAGGUGGGAGGCUGAGAGAAUGUGUUUGUGGAUGCAUAGGAGCCGACAGUGAGAUACCACUCUUAAUAAAUUAGAAUUCUAAUUUUGAAUUCCAUUAACUGGACAAAAAACAUUUUCAGGUGGGCAGUUUGACUGGGGCGGUCGCCUCCUAAAAAGUAACGGAGGCGUGCAAAGGUUUCCUCAGGCUGGUCGGAAAUCAGUCGUAGAGUGUAAAGGCAUAAGGAAGCUUGACUGCAAGACCUACAAGUCGAGCAGAGACGAAAGUCGGCCUUAGUGAUCCGACAGUACCGAGUGGAAGGGCUGUCGCUCAACGGAUAAAAGUUA
rnacentral:rRNA from 1 species